UACGUAGGGUGCAAGCGUUGUCCGGAAUUAUUGGGCGUAAAGAGCUCGUAGGCGGUCUGUCGCGUCGGCUGUGAAAACUCGGGGCUCAACCCCGAGCCUGCAGUCGAUACGGGCAGACUAGAGUGCUGUAGGGGAGACUGGAAUUCCUGGUGUAGCGGUGAAAUGCGCAGAUAUCAGGAGGAACACCGGUGGCGAAGGCGGGUCUCUGGGCAGUAACUGACGCUGAGGAGCGAAAGCGUGGAGAGCAAACAGG
rnacentral:rRNA from 1 species